rnacentral:rRNA from 1 species
CCUACGGGAGGCAGCAGUGAGGAAUAUUGGUCAAUGGCCGAGAGGCUGAACCAGCCAAGUCGCGUGAGGGAAGACGGCCCUACGGGUUGUAAACCUCUUUUGUCGGGGAGCAAAGCGAACCACGUGUGGAUCAUUGAGAGUACCCGAAGAAAAAGCAUCGGCUAACUCCGUGCCAGGAGCCGCGGUAAUACGGGGGAUGCGAGCGUUACCCGGUUUUAGUGGGUAAAAGGGGUGCGCAGGGGGAGGUACAAGUCAGCGGUCAAAUUGCGGGGCUCAACACCGUACUGCCGUUGAACCUGCAUCCUUUGAGUGAGCGAGAAGUAUGCGGAAUGCGGGGUGUAGCGGUGAAA